AUUGAACGCUGGCGGCAUGCCUUACACAUGCAAGUCGAACGGUAACAGGUCUUCGGAUGCUGACGAGUGGCGAACGGGUGAGUAAUACAUCGGAACGUGCCUAGUAGUGGGGGAUAACUACUCGAAAGAGUGGCUAAUACCGCAUGAGAUCUACGGAUGAAAGCAGGGGAUCGCAAGACCUUGUGCUACUAGAGCGGCCGAUGGCAGAUUAGGUAGUUGGUGGGAUAAAAGCUUACCAAGCCGACGAUCUGUAGCUGGUCUGAGAGGGCGAUCAGCCACACUGGGACUGAGACACGGCCCAGACUCCUACGGGAGGCAGCAGUGGGGAAUUUUGGACAAUGGGCGCAAGCCUGAUCCAGCAAUGCCGCGUGCAGGAUGAAGGCCUUCGGGUUGUAAACUGCUUUUGUACGGAACGAAAAGCCCUGGGUUAAUACCCUGGGGUCAUGACGGUACCGUAAGAAUAAGCACCAGCUAACUACGUGCCAGCCGCCGCAGUAA
rnacentral:rRNA from 1 species